AGGAGCCUUGGUUCCUUUUAGCAGCAAGAAUUGCUCUCUCUCUUUUUAAGACUUUAUUUACAUCACAGGGAGAGCAAGAGAGCACAAGCAGGGGGAGCUGCAGAAGUAGAGGGAGAAGUAGGUUCCCUGCUGAGCAGGGAUCCUGAUGUGGGGCUCCAUCCCAGGACCCUGGGAUCAUGAUCUGAGCCAAAAGGCAGACACCCAACCGACUGAGCUGUCCAGGUGCCCUGGAUUACACUCUUGGAUGUUAGGUUCUUCCUGAUACGAAGGCACAAAGGCCCGGACAGCAACUGGACUUGUCCCAAGUCAUGUGGAUAACUGGAGACAGAGCGAGCAUGGGGACAGGAAGCGCUCCCAAGCAACAGAAAGCACCAGCAUACUGGGACCAGCAGGAGAACAGUACUACCGGAAUUGGAAAAGAGGAUGGUGAUUGUGAGCCAGAAAGCAGAGGCAGCUGACCUUUUAAGGACGAAUUCCUAGCAAUGGAACCGCUGGAUCAAGACGUAUGGACAUUUUAAAGGCUCUUUGGACAUACUCUCACACUGCUUCUUGGAAAGACCGUUCCAGCUGACACCUCCCUCCCUGCUCACCUCCCAGUCAGAGCUCUCUGCAUGGCUUCCUGGCUAUAUGGGCAUCUCCCAAUCACUAUGGCUGACAGGUAGAUGGGCUUUUCCAGAAGGUGCAUCAACAGUGCCCCUUGGCAUCCGAGGACAUUCCACCGUGCCAGCUUGUCACUGCAGGACAUGGAGCAAGUCCUGUCUCCCCGGCCUGGCUUCACUCGGAGCAGUCCCACCUGGUGAUACGCUGCACCAGGCUUCCCCGAGUCUCCUGCUUCUCCAGGCACGCACUUAGCUCCAGUUCUAUAAACAUCCACCACUUUGGCACCACUGGGGGCCAUUCCAGUGACAGUGGCCAGUUCCUGUGUGGUGAGAUUAGAGCCACUGAUACUUGGUGGGAUUGGGCCACUCUCCUGAUUGCCAAAACUCUGAUGGUGACCCACACCAUCAGGAAUUCCAGGCUCAAGCCUCAUCUUUUUGGUCACAGGACUACCCAGAUCUUCACAUUUCUUUCUAUUUUCAGGAGCUUCCAGGUUACCAUCGGCUUCUACUGAUGGGUUAUUGGCCCAAUCUCUACUGACAGGACAACAGGGCUGAUCUUCAAACUCAAGCAUUGGAAUGAUGGAGGCAUCCCCACCUGCAGGAGAAGGAAGCCCUUAAAAACCAGUGGUUCUCAAAACCUCUCUCUCCACAACACCAGUGGACCAGCCACAUCAAUGUCCCUUGGGAACUUGUUAGAAUGCAAAUUCUUAGAACCCACAGUGAAGUCUGCUGAAUCAGAAACUCUAGAGGUGGUACCAAGCAGUGUGUUUUAACAAGCUCUCCAGGUCAUUCUGGUGAGAGAACCACUGUCUUAACCAGAAUUUAAUUAUAUUUUCCCAGAUGACCUGAGAUGAAUUAGGAAGACUUGCCCAAAUUUCCCAAGUAAGAAUCCUUUGCAGCUCUGUCCUACCUAGACCCAAUGAGUUAGAAAUUCUGGGGUGGAGGAAUCUGGAACACAGAAUACUUUAAUAAGAUCCCAGGUAAUUCUCAUCACAGGAAGUUUUGGAAAUACUAAUUUAGACCAGGAUUUGUCAACUUUCAUAGUACUGACAUUUUGGGGCAGAUAAUUCUUUGCUGUUGGGGCUAUCCUUUAUGUUACAGGAUGGCUAGCAGCUUCUCAGUCUCUACCUACUAGAUACCAAUAGCAACCCUCAGUCUGACCAUCAGAGUGUCCCCAGAGGUUGCUAAAUUUCCCCCCGAGAAGCAAAACUCUCCUGAGUUGAGAACCCUUGGUUUAUAAAGAGCAUGGUUUCCCAAGAACAUUUUGUGGAAUGUUACCCCAUAAAAUGCUUUGUAAACAAAAGUGGGAGGUUGAUUUCAUGGUUAAAUAUGUUUGGUGGGACGCCCGGAUGGCUCAGUGGCUGGGCGUCUGCCUUUGGCCUGGGGCGUGAUCCUGGAGUCCCGGGAUCGAGUCCCGUGUCGGGCUCCCUGUAUGGAGCCUGCUUCUCCCUCUGCCUGUG